rnacentral:rRNA from 1 species
GGUGAACCUGCGGAAGGAUCAUUACCUAGAGUUUGUAGGCUUUGCCUGCUAUCUCUUACCCAUGUCUUUUGAGUACCUUCGUUUCCUCGGCGGGUCCGCCCGCCGGUUGGACAACCAUAAACCAUUUGCAGUUGCAAUCAGCGUCUGAACAAACUUUUAAUAGUUACAACUUUCAACAACGGAUCUCUUGGUUCUGGCAUCGAUGAAGAACGCAGCGAAAUGCGAUAAGUAGUGUGAAUUGCAGAAUUCAGUGAAUCAUUGAAUCUUUGAACGCACAUUGCGCCCCUUGGUAUUCCAUGGGGCAUGCAGAGAGCGAGCGUCAUUUGUACCUUCAAGCUCUGCUUGGUGUUGGGUGUUUGUCUCGCCUCUGCGCGCAGACUCGCCUCUUUUCAAUUGGCAGCCGGCGUAUUGAUUUCGGAGCGCAGUUCUUCUUUCCUUUGCACUCACAACGACGACGUCCACAAGUACAUUUUUACACUCUUGACCUCGGAUUCAGG